rnacentral:tRNA from 1 species
ACUAUUUUGGCAGAUAAGUGCAAUAAAUUUAGAAUUUAUGAAUAUAGGGUUAAAUCUAUAAAUAGUA